AAGGAUCAUUACUGUGGGGAUUCGUCCCCAUUGAGAUAGCACCCUUUGUUCACGAGUACCCUGUUUCCUCGGCGGGCGUGCCCGCCGCCAGGACCCCCCCAAAACCCUUUGCAGUGGCAGUACCUUCAGUUAACAUAAAUAUCAAAACUUUCAACAACGGAUCUCUUGGUUCUG
rnacentral:misc_RNA from 1 species